CGUCCAUAAGGCUCCAGCCGCUCCAUGCAAAACUCCGAAGUCGGCAGCGUCGUUCUAAUUGCCUACUUUGUAUCACGCUUUCCAUAGCCAUCUCUCAUCCUCCCUCGGCCUAGAGAGCGAAUUCCAGAGUAGGGGCCGUUCGAGGGGAAGGAGGACGAGGGCGACGAAGACUCCGCUGGGGGUGUUGUUGAACCAGCACCAGCAGCAGCAGGAGCAAGAGACGAUGGACGCGGCGGACUUCGUCGCCGGGGUUGGCGUGGAGGUGGACGACGGCGACUCUAUCGAUCUCCUCCUCGACUUCGACAAGCAGCUCCCUCCGGUCGACGCCGACUUUUUCAACUCCUUCGAAGACGAUUUCGACGACCAAGACCUUGCCUGAUCAACGACCAUUCCCUCUUUCUAUUGCUCUCUCCGGUGAUAGGACUUCAAUGCUUUAUCUGUUGCGGAAGAAGUGGAGAUGUUUGGGCUAUUAUUGGAUGUGGCAGUGGAUUUAAAAAUAUUUCAGUUUGCUCGUUACUACAAAUAUAUAUCAGUCUGCCAGUUGAAAUGGUCAUUGUGCUAGAAUAGAAGCUGUAGCCAAACACUAAACUGCGUUCCCCGCAUAUCAACUUCAGUACAGUUUUAUGACUGUAAGAAUGAAUGAAUCGGAUCAUUAGUCACCUUGAUGGUUUGAUUCUAUUUGUAGUUUAAAGAUCAAUUUUCUCAUGUGGUUAAGCAUUUUAUUACCUGUGGCAGAGUAUUUCUUUUCUGGAUAAUUCAUUCAGUCUCAUCUCAUGUAUUAUUUGCACAUACCUGUCGCAGGCACUUCUAGUAAAAUGUGGAUCAAGGAUUUGCAUUA